rnacentral:rRNA from 1 species
AGAAAUGGCGGCAGGCCUAAUACAUGCAAGUCGAGCGGACUUGAAGAGAAGCUUGCUUCUCUGAUAGGUUAGCGGCGGACGGGUGAGUAACACGUAGGCAACCUGCCCUCAAGUUUGGGACAACUACCGGAAACGGUAGCUAAUACCGAAUAGUUGUUUUCUUCUCCUGAAGGAAACUGGAAAGACGGAGCAAUCUGUCACUUGGGGAUGGGCCUGCGGCGCAUUAGCUAGUUGGUGGGGUAACGGCUCACCAAGGCGACAAUGCGUAGCCGACCUGAGAGGGUGAUCGGCCACACUGGGACUGAGACACGGCCCAAACUCCUACGGGAGGCAGCAGUAGGGAAUCUUCCGCAAUGGGCGAAAGCCUGACGGAGCAAUGCCGCGUGAGUGAUGAAGGUUUUCGGAUCGUAAAGCUCUGUUGCCGGGGAAAAACGCUUGGGAGAGUAACUGCUCUCAGGGUGACGGUACCUGAAAAAAAAGCCCCGGCUAACUACUUGCCAGCAGCCGCGGUAAUACUUAGGGGGCAAGCGUUGUCCGGAAUUAUUGGGCGUAAAGCGCGCGCAGGCGGUCAUUUAAGUCUGGUGUUUAAUCCCGGGGCUCAACCCCGGAUCGCACUGGAAACUGGGUGACUUGAGUGCAGAACAGGAGAGUGGAAUUCCACGUGUAGCGGUGAAAUGCGUAGAUAUGUGGAGGAACACCAGUGGCGAGGGCAACUCUCUGGGCUGUAACUGACGCUAA